rnacentral:lncRNA from 1 species
GCAUUUUAAUUUAAGUAGAUACUCAAUUUCGUUAGUACAAUAAACGGUUGAUAAACAAGAAUUACUAAACUUUCUGACUGAGAUUGUAUAAAAAGAAUUCAUAUUAAUAGUUUAAAUUAAAUUGAAAAAUGUUCUCAGUGUACAAUGCUCGUAGCCAAACCGGAUUUCAAAAAAAGUUUAAAUAAAGCUUCUUUCGUCUUCCUUAUGUAAUUAAAAUAUUGUUUUAUUUAUCUUUUUACACUGUAUGUGCUGAAGUGACUUGCCAUUGAAAUUUCGGGGGAAAACAUAUAAAAGCAACUUUGACGUGGAAACAAAACAACAAAAAUAUUUGAAUAAUCUAAGCGUAAUAGCUUCUUGUGUUAAUGCUUAUAUAUGUCAUAUACUUUGUGAUGCUUGUCAAAGGUUGACAUGCAGUUCGUACUGAAAACCAGAUCGGAGAGUGUGUUGGACCUUGGAGUAAAUUCAAAAUAUUGUCACGUACAACAAAAAUAUGACUCAAGCUUCUACAUAAAAUCGUCACAACGCAUUCAACAUAGACUGCAGCAGUACUUUACGGUUAAAAUUACUUGUAGUAAAAGAAUGUAUCGUAUAAAUAAUAAUUUUAUACAAUUUCCACUCUAA